CGGGGUGUGGCCCAGAAGCCUAAGGCGCUUGCAUGGGGUGCAAGAGAUCGGCGGUGCGAAUCCGCCCACCCCGA
rnacentral:tRNA from 6 species